CCUACGGGGGGCAGCAGUGGGGAAUUUUCCGCAAUGGGCGAAAGCCUGACGGAGCAAUACCGCGUGAGGGAGGAAGGCUCUUGGGUUGUAAACCUCUUUUCUCAGGGAAUAAGCAAGUGAAGGUACCUGAGGAAUCAGCAUCGGCUAACUCCGUGCCAGCAGCCGCGGUAAUACGGAGGAUGCAAGCGUUAUCCGGAAUGAUUGGGCGUAAAGCGUCCGUAGGUAGCAGUGGGUGUCUAUUGUUAAAGAGUUUGGCUUAACCAAAUAAAGGCGGUAGAAACUCCACAGCUAGAGUGCGUUCGGGGCAGCGGGAAUUCCUGGUGUAGCGGUGAAAUGCGUAGAGAUCAGGAAGAACACCGGUGGCGACGGCGCUCUGCUAGGCCGCAACUGACACUGAGGCACGAAAGCCAGGGGAGCAAACGGGAUUAGAUACCCCUGUAGUC
rnacentral:rRNA from 1 species